GGGUUGUGAGGUUAAGCGACUAAGCGUACACGGUGGAUGCCCUGGCAGUCAGAGGCGAUGAAGGGCGUGCUAAUCUGCGAUAAGCGCCGGUAAGGUGAUAUGAACCGUUAUAACCGGCGAUACCCGAAUGGGGAAACCCAGUGUGAUUCGUCACACUAUCAUUAACUGAAUCCAUAGGUUAAUGAGGCGAACCGGGGAACUGAAACAUCUAAGUACCCCGAGGAAAAGAAAUCAACCGAGAUUCCCCAGUAGCGGCGAGCGAACGGGGAGGAGCCCAGAGCCUGAAUCAGCAUGUGUGUUAGUGGAAGCGUCUGGAAAGGCGCGCGAUACAGGGUGACAGCCCCGUACACAAAAGCGCAUGUGCUGUGAGCUCGAUGAGUAGGGCGGGACACGUGGUAUCCUGUCUGAAUAUGGGGGGACCAUCCUCCAAGGCUAAAUACUCCUGACUGACCGAUAGUGAACCAGUACCGUGAGGGAAAGGCGAAAAGAACCCCGGCGAGGGGAGUGAAAAAGAACCUGAAACCGUGUACGUACAAGCAGUGGGAGCACAGGUUUACCUGUGUGACUGCGUACCUUUUGUAUAAUGGGUCAGCGACUUAUAUUCUGUAGCAAGGUUAACCGUAUAGGGAGCCGCAGGAAACCGAGUCUUAAUUGGGCGUUAAGUUGCAGGGUAUAGACCCGAAACCCGGUGAUCUAGCCAUGGGCAGGUUGAAGGUUGGGUAACACUAACUGGAGGACCGAACCGACUAAUGUUGAAAAAUUAGCGGAUGACCUGUGGCUGGGGGUGAAAGGCCAAUCAAACCGGGAGAUAGCUGGUUCUCCCCGAAAGCUAUUUAGGUAGCGCCUCGUGAAUUCAUCUCCGGGGUAGAGCACUGUUUCGGCUAGGGGGCCAUCCCGGCUUACCAACCCGAUGCAAACUGCGAAUACCGGAGAAUGUUAUCACGGGAGACACACGGCGGGUGCUAACGUCCGUCGUGAAGAGGGAAACAACCCAGACCGCCAGCUAAGGUCCCAAAGUCAUGGUUAAGUGGGAAACGAUGUGGGAAGGCCCAGACAGCCGGAUGUUGGCUUAGAAGCAGCCAUCAUUUAAAGAAAGCGUAAUAGCUCACUGGUCGAGUCGGCCUGCGCGGAAGAUGUAACGGGGCUAAACCAUGCACCGAAGCUGCGGCAGCGACACUGUGUGUUGUUGGGUAGGGGAGCGUUCUGUAAGCCUGCGAAGGUGGCCUGUGAGGGUUGCUGGAGGUAUCAGAAGUGCGAAUGCUGACAUAAGUAACGAUAAAGCGGGUGAAAAGCCCGCUCGCCGGAAGACCAAGGGUUCCUGUCCAACGUUAAUCGGGGCAGGGUGAGUCGACCCCUAAGGCGAGGCCGAAAGGCGUAGUCGAUGGGAAACGGGUUAAUAUUCCCGUACUUGGUGUUACUGCGAAGGGGGACGGAGAAGGCUAUGUUGGCCGGGCGACGGUUGUCCCGGUUUAAGCGUGUAGGUGUGUGUUCCAGGUAAAUCCGGUUCACUUUAACACUGAGGCGUGACGACGAGGCACUACGGUGCUGAAGCAACAAAUGCCCUGCUUCCGGAAAAGCCUCUAAGCAUCAGGUAACAUCAAAUCGUACCCCAAACCGACACAGGUGGUCAGGUAGAGAAUACCAAGGCGCUUGAGAGAACUCGGGUGAAGGAACUAGGCAAAAUGGUGCCGUAACUUCGGGAGAAGGCACGCUGACACGUAGGUGAAGUGAUUUACUCACGGAGCUGAAGUCAGUCGAAGAUACCAGCUGGCUGCAACUGUUUAUUAAAAACACAGCACUGUGCAAACACGAAAGUGGACGUAUACGGUGUGACGCCUGCCCGGUGCCGGAAGGUUAAUUGAUGGGGUCAGCGCAAGCGAAGCUCCUGAUCGAAGCCCCGGUAAACGGCGGCCGUAACUAUAACGGUCCUAAGGUAGCGAAAUUCCUUGUCGGGUAAGUUCCGACCUGCACGAAUGGCGUAAUGAUGGCCAGGCUGUCUCCACCCGAGACUCAGUGAAAUUGAACUCGCUGUGAAGAUGCAGUGUACCCGCGGCAAGACGGAAAGACCCCGUGAACCUUUACUAUAGCUUGACACUGAACAUUGAGCCUUGAUGUGUAGGAUAGGUGGGAGGCUUUGAAGUGUGGACGCCAGUCUGCAUGGAGCCGACCUUGAAAUACCACCCUUUAAUGUUUGAUGUUCUAACGUGGACCCGUAAUCCGGGUUGCGGACAGUGUCUGGUGGGUAGUUUGACUGGGGCGGUCUCCUCCUAAAGAGUAACGGAGGAGCACGAAGGUUGGCUAAUCCGGUCGGACAUCAGGAGGUUAGUGCAAUGGCAUAAGCCAGCUUGACUGCGAGCGUGACGGCGCGAGCAGGUGCGAAAGCAGGUCAUAGUGAUCCGGUGGUUCUGAAUGGAAGGGCCAUCGCUCAACGGAUAAAAGGUACUCCGGGGAUAACAGGCUGAUACCGCCCAAGAGUUCAUAUCGACGGCGGUGUUUGGCACCUCGAUGUCGGCUCAUCACAUCCGGGCUGAAGUAGGUCCCAAGGGUAUGGCUGUUCGCCAUUUAAAGUGGUACGCGAGCUGGGUUUAGAACGUCGUGAGACAGUUCGGUCCCUAUCUGCCGUGGGCGCUGGAGAACUGAGGGGCUGCUCCUAGUACGAGAGGACCGGAGUGGACGCAUCACUGGUGUUCGGGUUGUCAUGCCAAUGGCACUGCCCGGUAGCUAAAUGCGGAAGAGAUAAGUGCUGAAAGCAUCUAAGCACGAAACUUGCCCCGAGAUGAGUUCUCCCUGAGACUUAGAGUCUCCUGAAGGAACGUUGAAGACGACGACGUUGAUAGGCCGGGUGUGUAAGCGCAGCGAUGCGUUGAGCUAACCGGUACUAAUGAACCGUGAGGCUUAACCUUACAACGCCGAAG
rnacentral:rRNA from 1 species